UCUGAUACAUAUUGCUGAUUUAA
rnacentral:snRNA from 1 species